rnacentral:misc_RNA from 1 species
CCGAGUUUACAACUCCCAAACCCCAUGUGAACCAUACCGUACUGUUGCCUCGGCGGCUCAGCCGCUCCCGGUGCCAACUGCGGCCCGGACCCAGCCCCCGAGGACCACCUAAACCAUUGUGUACCGUAGUGUCACUCUCUGAGUGCGUAAAGCAUAAAUAAAUCA